rnacentral:rRNA from 1 species
UACGGGGGGGCAAGCGUUGUUCGGAAUUACUGGGCGUAAAGGGCUCGUAGGUGGCCAACUAAGUCAGACGUGAAAUCCCUCGGCUUAACCGGGGAACUGCGUCUGAUACUGGAUGGCUUGAGGUUGGGAGAGGGAUGCGGAAUUCCAGGUGUAGCGGUGAAAUGCGUAGAUAUCUGGAGGAACACCGGUGGCGAAGGCGGCAUCCUGGACCAAUUCUGACGCUGAGGAGCGAAAGCCAGGGGAGCAAAGCGGG